rnacentral:snRNA from 1 species
CUAGCCACCUGCAGGGGAGAUACCACCAUCAGGAGGGGGGUUUUUCCCGGGCGAGGCCGACCAUUGCCCUCGGCAUCUGCUGGCCUGCGAGGUCCCCCCUGGGGGCAACUCCACUGCAGGAUUCCUGUCCUUGGGGUUUGCGUUGGCACCUCCCGU